rnacentral:tRNA from 1 species
GCUGGGUUAGCUCAGUUGGUUAGAGCAUGGUGCUAAUAACACCGAGUUCACAGGUUCAAUCCCUGCUCACUGCA